AAGCAAAUCUGAUACGAUAUUCUUAUAUUAUUUUUUGUGAUUAUUUCAAAUCGUAACAUGACUAAUUGUAAAACACAGUUUUUCGGAAUCUACAGUGCACGAUGCCUAAGCUUCCGAAACAUGUGUCAAGGCACGUUUCCGAGAGGUUUUGAUUUUCUUUUGUUAAUCUAUAACUGACAGUUAAUGGACGUUUUUGUUACUACGGUUUUUCCACAGAAUUGAUGCUUGUUUGUACUGAAAAAGACCGUUAUUAAAGGUCGAAACGUAUACACGAAUUUACCUACUUGUUUUGAUUAUUGCGUUUAACACCCAGCGCGGCUCUCGAGCUCGUUUAUAUUCUUUUAAUUUUUAUUUAUGUUGAAAU
rnacentral:lncRNA from 13 species